rnacentral:rRNA from 1 species
UACGUAGGGGGGCGAGCGUUGUCCGGAAUCAUUGGGCGUAAAGAGCGUGUAGGCGGCUUGGCAAGUCUGACGUGAAAUCCCGCGGCUCAACCGCGGUAGGUCGUUGGAAACUGCCUCGCUAGAGUCCGGAAGAGGAGAGCGGAAUUCCUGGUGUAGCGGUGGAAUGCGCAGAGUAUCAGGAAGAACACCCGGUGGCGAAGGCGGCUCUCUGGGACGGUACUGACGCUGAGACGCGAAAGCGUGGGGAGCGAACAGG